GAUGAACGCUGGCGGCGUGCUUAACACAUGCCAGUCGAACGAAGCAUUUAAGACAGAUUACUUCGGUUUGAAGUCUUUUAUGACUGAGUGGCGGACGGGUGAGUAACGCGUGGGUAACCUGCCUCAUACAGGGGGAUAGCAGCUGGAAACGGCUGGUAAUACCGCAUAAGCGCACAGUACCACAUGGUACAGUGUGAAAAACUCCGGUGGUAUGAGAUGGACCCGCGUCUGAUUAGCUUGUUGGCGGGGUAACGGCCCACCAAGGCGACGAUCAGUAGCCGACCUGAGAGGGUGACCGGCCACAUUGGGACUGAGACACGGCCCAGACUCCUACGGGAGGCAGCAGUGGGGAAUAUUGCACAAUGGAGGAAACUCUGAUGCAGCGACGCCGCGUGAGUGAAGAAGUAGUUCGCUAUGUAAAGCUCUAUCAGCAGGGAAGAUAGUGACGGUACCCGACUAAGAAGCGCCGGCUAAAUACGUG
rnacentral:rRNA from 1 species